CCUACGGGAGGCAGCAGUGGGGAAUUUUGGGCAAUGGCCGAAAGGCUGACCCAGCGACGCCGCGUGCGGGAGGACGCCCUUCGGGGUGUAAACCGCUGUCAGGGGGGAAGAAACCCGGGGAUUUGAAUAGAGUCUCCGGCUGACGGUACCUCCAAAGGAAGCGCCGGCUAACUCCGUGCCAGCAGCCGCGGUAAGACGGAGGGCGCAAGCGUUGUUCGGAAUCACUGGGCGUAAAGCGCGCGCAGGCGGACUCAGUAAGUCGGAAGUGAAAUUCCGGGGCUCAACUCCGGAACUGCUUCCGAGACUGCGAGUCUGGGGACCGGUAGAGGCGGGUGGAAUUCCCGGUGUAGCGGUGGAAUGCGUAGAGAUCGGGAAGAACACCGGUGGCGAAGGCGGCCCGCUGGGCCGGAUCCGACGCUGAGGCGCGAAAGCGUGGGGAG
rnacentral:rRNA from 1 species